AACAGGAUUAGAUACCCUGGUAGUCCACGCCGUAAACGAUGAGUGCUAAGUGUUAGGGGGUUUCCGCCCCUUAGUGCUGCAGCUAACGCAUUAAGCACUCCGCCUGGGGAGUACGGCCGCAAGGCUGAAACUCAAAGGAAUUGACGGGGGCCCGCACAAGCGGUGGAGCAUGUGGUUUAAUUCGAAGCAACGCGAAGAACCUUACCAGGUCUUGACAUCCCGCUGCCCGCCUAGGAGACUAGGCUUUCCCUUCGGGGACAGCGGUGACAGGUGGUGCAUGGUUGUCGUCAGCUCGUGUCGUGAGAUGUUGGGUUAAGUCCCGCAACGAGCGCAACCCUUGAUCUUAGUUGCCAGCAUUCAGUUGGGCACUCUAAGGUGACUGCCGGUGACAAACCGGAGGAAGGUGGGGAUGACGUCAAAUCAUCAUGCCCCUUAUGACCUGGGCUACACACGUGCUACAAUGGACGGUACAAAGGGCUGCAAACCCGCGAGGGGGAGCCAAUCCCAGAAAACCGUUCUCAGUUCGGAUUGCAGGCUGCAACUCGCCUGCAUGAAGCCGGAAUCGCCAGUAAUCGUGGAUCAGCAUGCCACGGUGAAUACGUUCCCGGGCCUUGUACACACCGCCCGUCACACCACGAGAGUUUGUAACACCCGAAGUCGGUGAGGUAACCCUUGUGGAGCCAGCCGCCGAAGGUGGGACAGAUGAUUGGGGUGAAGUCGUAACAAGGUAACC
rnacentral:rRNA from 1 species